AGUGAACGCUGGCGGCAGGCCUAACACAUGCAAGUCGAACGGCAGCACGGCAGUAGCAAUACUGUGGGUGGCGAGUGGCGGACGGGUGAGGAAUACAUCGGGAUCUACCCUGUUGUGGGGGAUAACGUAGGGAAACUUACGCUAAUACCGCAUAAGAACUGAGGUUGAAAGCGGCGGACCGCAAGGCGUCGCGCGAUUGGAUGAACCGAUGUCCGAUUAGCUAGUUGGCGGGGUAAAGGCCCACCAAGGCGACGAUCGGUAGCUGGUCUGAGAGGACGACCAGCCACACUGGAACUGAGACACGGUCCAGACUCCUACGGGAGGCAGCAGUGGGGAAUAUUGGACAAUGGGCGCAAGCCUGAUCCAGCCAUGCCGCGUGGGUGAAGAAGGCCUUCGGUUGUAAAGCCUUUUGUCCGAAGAAAGCAUUCGGUAAUACCCGGGUGUUCUGACGUACCGGAAGAAUAAGCACCGGCUAACUUCGUGCCAGCAGCCGCGGUAAGCACG
rnacentral:rRNA from 1 species